CAGCGUUAACACGUGAGAAAAUUUAUCAGAAGAGACAAGGAAAUGACUGGCUGGUUUCUUUUACUCCUCGUCCUUGUACUGUCCUUGUACAGCGCUGAUGUUGCGGAAGGAUACAGUCGGAAGGGAUUUGUUUGUAAGAAAAGCGCAAAUGGGCGUUCUGGUGACUGUGUGAAAGCACGAGGACCAGCACGAAGACCAGCACGAAGACCAGCACGAAGACCAGCACCACCAAAACCAAAAACAACAACGCCAGCACCAGCUGAUCCAUGCUCAUCGAACCCAUGUGCUAAUGGAGGAACUUGUAUUGCAAAAACACCGUUGACUCUCUUAUGCAAAUGUGCUGAAGGAUUCUCAGGUGGCCAUUGUA